GACGGAGGAGGCAAGCGUUAUCCGGAAUUAUUGGGCGUAAAGCGUCCGUAGAUGGUUUUGUCAGUCUGCUGUCAAAGCACAGGGCUUAACCCUGUAAAGGCAGUGGAAACUACAAGACUAGAGUGCAGUAGGGGCAGAGGGAAUUCCCAGUGUAGCGGUGAAAUGCGUAGAGAUUGGGAAGAACACCCGUGGCGAAAGCGCUCUGCUGGACUGCAACUGACAUUGAGGGACGAAAGCUAGGGGAGCGAAUGGG
rnacentral:rRNA from 1 species